rnacentral:rRNA from 1 species
GAUGAACGCUGGCGGUGUGUCUAAUACAUGCAAGUCGAACGCGUCUUCGGACGAGUGGCGAACGGGUGAGUAACACGUUGAUAGCUGCCCUCUACUCAGGGAUAACCCAUGGAAACGUGGGCUAAUACCGGAUGGUCCCGCAAGGGUAAAGAUUUAUCGGUAGAGGAGGCGUCUGCGUACUAUCAGCUUGUUGGUGAGGUAAUGGCUCACCAAGGCUAUGACGGUUAGCGGGUCUGAGAGGAUGAUCCGCCACAGUGGGACUGAGACACGGCCCACACUCCUACGGGAGGCAGCAGUAAAGAAUCUUCCACAAUGGACGAAAGUCUGAUGGAGCAACACCGCGUGCAGGAUGACGGCCUUCGGGUUGUAAACUGCUUUUCUGGGGGAAUAACUCUGAAGGUACCCUAGGAAUAAGCACCGGCUAAUUUCG